CAGUAGCCGCGGGAAUACGUAGGUGGCGAGCGUUGUCCGGAAUUAUUGGGCGUAAAGGGAGCGCAGGCGGACAUAUAAGUCCAUCCUAAAAGUGCGGGGCUCAACCCCGUGAGGGGAUGGAAACUGUAUGCCUUGAGUGCAGGAGAGGAAAGCGGAAUUCCCAGUGUAGCGGUGAAAUGCGUAGAUAUUGGGAGGAACACCAGUGGCGAAGGCGGCUUUCUGGACUGCAACUGACGCUGAGGCUCGAAAGCCAGGGGAGCGAACGGGAUUAGAUACCCCCGUAGUCCCUGUCUCUUAUACA
rnacentral:rRNA from 1 species